GCCAGUACUUCAACCCCGGUUCUCCACACUACCUCUGCUUGAUCGUCGUUGCUCCUUACCCGGUUCACUCACCCUCAUCUUCAGUCAGUCAGCUGGGCUCGCUCACCUGUCCUCUCCCCUUGGACUUCCCCCACGGCAUCCUCCCAAGUCUCCCCUGCCUCCUCUCUUCCUCGGCCCCUAGUGUUCCCCGGCUCUCUGGUCUCAGUCUCCUCGGUUCCCCAGUGCCUGCGUUUCCCUCCAGUCCCUCAACCCCAUUUUUCCCCAAAUAAAACCUGUUAAUCCCCAGAGUUGUGUUUGGGUAAAUCAGGCACUUAAAGGUCCAGUGUGUAAGAUUUUUGGAUGCUCUGUUUGCGGAAUAUGAAAGAAAUGGAAUAUAAUAUUCAGAUGGAAUAAGAGUUUGCAGCCGCCACAGUUGUUCCUACACACAUGGAAGGACAAGUUGUUUUCAUUUAGUUGCAAUCUGCAAUUUCAUCACUAGAUGCUCCUAAAUCCUACACCCUGGUUAAUUUCAGACACACACACUAUAAUUUGUGUGUUGUGUCAUUUUUAAAAAUGAGAACUUAAGACACUGACAUUUAUUCUGACAUUACUUAUGCCAGGAUGGUGGUGGAGAUAUUACCAUUGAAGAUCCUUGUAACCAGAGGUGCCAACCUGUCUGAGCCAGCUAGUGCAAUGGUUGUGAUUGAGGGAACAGAAGUUGUGAAAGACCUGGAUGUACCCAGAGCUUGUGCCUUUCUAAUAAAGCUGAUAUAUGCACUCCAAACACCAUAUCCAAAGAACUGAAAAAAAACAUUUGAAAAGUUUCAAAAGGUAUUCCUUGAGCUGGAUGGUCUGAAAGUCAGUCUGAAGGUAAAGACCACUCUAAAAAGUAAACUUCUAUCCUAACAAUACCACAAGAAACGGCUGCACCUGUUUUAUGUUGUGUGUUGUUGAGCAAAAUACAGCAGCUGUAAUGUGUAGUUGGUACUGGUUACAAUAAAGUUUGUUGAAACUACAA